UACGUAGGGCGCAAGCGUUAUCCGGAAUUAUUGGGCGUAAAGAGCUCGUAGGCGGUUUGUCGCGUCUGCCGUGAAAGUCCGGGGCUCAACUCCGGAUCUGCGGUGGGUACGGGCAGACUAGAGGUAUGCAGGGGAGAACGGAAUUCCUGGUGUAGCGGUGAAAUGCGCAGAUAUCAGGAAGAACACCCGUGGCGAAGGCGGCUCUCUGGAACGCAACUGACGCUGAGACGCGAAAGCGUGGGGAGCAAACAGG
rnacentral:rRNA from 1 species